rnacentral:lncRNA from 1 species
GGCACCGACACCAGCUGUGUGCAGCAGUGGCGGCGGCGGCCGAAGGAGAAAUAGAACAGCGCAGGCAAAAGAAGAAAGGCGCGGGCUGGGUGGGAAGAGGAUUCGGUCUCGUCACACUGUGGUGGAUUCAGCGAGAAAGGAUGAGAAGAGGCAGAGAAGGCGACGGCAGAAGAAAAAAGGAAAAACUGCGGCCGCGAUCAGAGCCUGAAAGUGUGAGAAGGCGGCGCCAGCGACGCCAGUAUUUAUAUUAGGGGGCGUGGCCUGGUGACAUCACAGCUGGCCGGGCAGCCGCGCGAGCGGGGCGGAGCCCGGUUGCAGCCCGGAGAAAAGGGAGGGGGACGGAAGAGGAAGGAGGACUGAGCCCGGGAGAGAGAGGGGAGGGGUCGGCGCGCGACCGGGUCAUGCAGGUGCAGACUGGCCGGUCGCUUCCCGCCCUCCAGCCACCCGCAGCUCCCCGGCAGGCGAAGGGCGGCCGCGCGGGUGUGGGCCGGGAGAAGGAGGCGGCUCGGCUGGAGCGCGCCGUCCGCCCGACCCCCGCCGCCUCUCGGGCGCCUGCGCUCACGCUGCGGGGCCCGGCGCAUUGUGAGCCGGGUCGAGCUCCACGCUGGCAGCGUCUGAGAGCUGUCCUGGGCCGGAGGUGGCGCGAACCCUGUGCGGCCUAGAGUGGGCCUGGGGAAGCCAGCUGCCAUGUUCUGAGUACUCUCUGGAAGGGCCUGCAUGGCAAGGAACUGAUGUUUCCAGCCAGCAGCCAGCAAGAACUGCAAGCCUUGUGAAUGAGCUUGGAAGCAGAUCCUCCCCUCACUCAAGCCAUGAUAUGACAACAGCCUGAGACCC